UUAUUCGGAUGUGAAAUUAAAGGGUGUGGAAAUUUGUCGGGAAACUAUUAAGCACGCCUAUUAAAGUAAAGUCUGAGAAGAGUGUCUAAUAAUAAGAGAAACUGCAGUGGACUUGAAUUCGACAAGAAACAGAGGAGUAUUGCAAGAAAGUUAUUGUGGCUUAAAUUGAAUCAGUCAAAACUAAGUAAAACGUUAAAGGCAUAAUUGUAAUUAGUGUUAUUUAUGCAAUUACAACAAUAAAAUCAACUAUAUUAUAGUUAAAUUAAUCCAAAACCUAUCCUAACUACACAUUAACCUUACCGAUUAAAAUCGGUGUAUUUUAAAUUUUAAAGAAUGAUAAUAAAAGGUAAUUUAACAAUUUAAUGAAUUAUAGGACUUAGGUACAGAGUAAGUUUUUUGUAACUUUUGAAAGUUGAGAAAUUAAGUAAUCAGAAACGAUGGAUUGUGUACUAUAAAUAAUGAUGUAUAACAAAAAAACAUCCGAUUAUCUCAAAUAUAGUGCAGUUAUUACGACGAUUUUACAUAAUAUCCGAUGAACAGUCCGUAGUUAAACACACGUUGUAAGUUGUCAUGUUCAACAGCUAUAAUUGUAAAAAAAAAAUUCUAUAUUAAUGUAUUGUAUGAAAUGUUUUCGAAUUUUAUAGUUUAUUUUCUAUAGAUUCUUAAAUACCUGUGUAAUGAAUUGUAAAAUAUGUUAAAAACGUACAUCAGGUGUUCCCAAGAAUUUGCACGAUUGAAAAAAUU